rnacentral:rRNA from 1 species
ACUGAUAUUAUUUCCGAUAAGGCAACACCCGUUCCCAUUCCGAACACGGCAGUUAAGCUUAUCAGGGUCGAUGGUAUUGGCACCCAAUUCGGUGCUGAGAGAGUAGAUCGAUGUCGGUC